CUAAAGAAGUCAAAUAUCUAAACGGAGAAAUUCAAUACUAACCAAAAAUUAGUGUGCACUUUUCUCUUAGUAAGACGCCGUGAUCCAUUAGAAAUUGAUAUACGUCAAGUAUAUAUUGGACCGUCAAUAGGCUAAUGUGAAGUUUAUUCGGAACAAAUGAAAUAAUCUUUUACGGUUGUUUGUAUUGUCUGGUAAGCGCAUUAUGUUUCUGUAACGGUUGUCUGAUGGAUUUUAAAGAUUUUGCAUCAAUGAUGUUACGGCAUCACUUAAUUUUUUUAAGAAUUUAUGAUGUGUAUCUGAUCAACGGCGGUUAAAUUUGACAUACCUUUUGGACCCGUCUUGAAACACGGACCAAGGAGUCUAUCUAGUAUGCGAGUAAAUGGAUAGUUUAUGAAAUCUAUUUGCAUAAUAAACUUGACUGUUAUUUUCAUGGGACUACGAUUAAUGAUGAUUCAAAAGAUCAUUUUAGUCUUCCAUCCCGGGGUAUUUUUAUCAACAUAUGCCGUUAAAAAGUAUAUGGAAAAUAUACCAUGAGCACACUGGAUACGACCCGAAAGAUGGUGAACUAUGCCUGAUCAGGUCGAAGUCAGGGGAAACUCUGAUGGAGGACCGAAGCAGUUCUGACGUGCAAAUCG
rnacentral:rRNA from 1 species